CAAGGCGACGACGGGUAGCUGGUCUGAGAGGAUGAUCAGCCACACUGGGACUGAGACACGGCCCAGACUCCUACGGGAGGCAGCAGUGAGGAAUCUUGCGCAAUGGGCGAAAGUCUGACGCAGCGACGCCGCGUGCGGGAUGAAGGCCUUCGGGUUGUAAACCGCUUUCAGCAGGGACGAAAUUGACGGUACCUGCAGAAGAAGCCCCGGCCAACUACGUGCCAGCAGCCGCGGUAAUACGUAGGGGGCGAGCGUUGUCCGGAUUUAUUGGGCGUAAAGAGCUCGUAGGUGGUUCGGUAAGUCGGAUGUGAAAUCUCCAGGCUCAACCUGGAGGGGUCAUUCGAUACUGCCAGACUAGAGUUCGGUAGAGGAGUGUGGAAUUCCUGGUGGAGCGGUGAAAUGCGCAGAUAUCAGGAGGAACACCCGUAGCGAAGGCGGCACUCUGGGCCGAUACUGACACUGAGGAGCGAAAGCGUGGGGAGCGAACAGGAUUAGAUACCCUGGUAGUCCACGCCGUAAACGUUGGGCACUAGGUGUGGGAUGCUAUCGACGGGAUCCGUGCCGUAGCUAACGCAUUA
rnacentral:rRNA from 1 species